GACCUGAUGGUGGAGUGGUUACCAUACCUGCUGCAAAUGAGGUAGCUGCAUGUCAAUUUGAGCAGAAGAGUCCUGUUCAAUUCAGGGUCAGGUCA